rnacentral:pre_miRNA from 7 species
UUCCAUGGGCACUGCACUUGAAAGACCCCCGAAGGGAGACCCUCACUCAAGCCUCGGGAUAUGGCGCGGACCCAAAUGUGACAUGGAAACCG